GAUGAACGCUGGCGGCGUGCCUAAUACAUGCAAGUCGAGCGAACAGACGAGGAGCUUGCUCCUCUGACGUUAGCGGCGGACGGGUGAGUAACACGUGGAUAACCUACCUAUAAGACUGGGAUAACUUCGGGAAACCGGAGCUAAUACCGGAUAAUAUAUUGAACCGCAUGGUUCAAUAGUGAAAGACGGUUUUGCUGUCACUUAUAGAUGAAUCCGCGCCGCAUUAGCUAGUUGGUAAGGUAACGGCUUACCAAGGCGACGAUGCGUAGCCGACCUGAGAGGGUGAUCGGCCACACUGGAACUGAGACACGGUCCAGACUCCUACGGGAGGCAGCAGUAGGGAAUCUUCCGCAAUGGGCGAAAGCCUGACGGAGCAACGCCGCGUGAGUGAUGAAGGUCUUCGGAUCGUAAAACUCUGUUAUUAGGGAAGAACAAAUGUGUAAGUAACUAUGCACGUCUUGACGGUACCUAAUCAGAAAGCCACGGCUAACUACGU
rnacentral:rRNA from 1 species